AGCGAACGCUGGCGGCAGGCUUAACACAUGCAAGUCGAGCGGGCCCUUCGGGGUCAGCGGCGGACGGGUGAGUAACGCGUGGGAACGUGCCCUCUGGUCUGGAAUAACCCUGGGAAACUAGGGCUAAUACCGGAUACGCCCUUUUGGGGAAAGGCUUGCUGCCGGAGGAUCGGCCCGCGUCUGAUGAGCUAGUUGGUGGGGUGACGGCCUACCAAGGCGACGAUCAGUAGCUGGUCUGGGAGGCUGGUCAGCCACACUGGGACUGAGACACGGCGAGGACUCCGACGGGAGGCAGCAGUGGGGAAUACUGGACAAUGGGCGCAAGACUGAUCCAGCCAGGCCGCGUGAGUGAUGAAGGCCUUAGGGUUGUAAAGCUCUUUUAUCCGGGACGAUAAUGACGGUACCGGAGGAAUAAGCCCCGGCUAACUUCGUGCCAGCCGCCGCAGUAA
rnacentral:rRNA from 1 species